rnacentral:rRNA from 1 species
UGGCUCAGGAUGAACGCUAGCUACAGGCUUAACACAUGCAAGUCGAGGGGAAACGGCAUUGAGUGCUUGCACUCUUUGGACGUCGACCGGCGCACGGGUGAGUAACGCGUAUCCAACCUUCCCAUUACUGUGGGAUAACCUGCCGAAAGGCAGACUAAUACCACAUGGUCUUCGAUGAUGGCAUCAGAUUUGAAGUAAAGAUUUAUCGGUAAUGGAUGGGGAUGCGUCUGAUUAGCUUGUUGGCGGGGUAACGGCCCACCAUGGCAACGAUCAGUAGGGGUUCUGAGAGGAAGGUCCCCCACAUUGGAACUGAGACACGGCCCAGACUCCUACGGGAGGCAGCAGUGGGGAAUAUUGCACAAUGGGCGAAAGCCUGAUGCAGCGACGCCGCGUGAGGGAUGACGGCCUUCGGGUUGUAAACCUCUUUCGCUCAUGGUCAAGCCGCAACAAUGGUUGUGGUGAGGGUAGUGGGUAAAGAAGCGCCGGCUAACUACGUGCCAGCAGCCGCGGUAAUACGUAGGGCGCGAGCGUUGUCCGGAAUUAUUGGGCGUAAAGGGCUUGUAGGCGGUUGGUCGCGUCUGCCGUGAAAUCCUCUGGCUUAACUGGGGGGCGUGCGGUGGGUACGGGCUGACUUGAGUGCGGUAGGGGAGACUGGAACUCCUGGUGUAGCGGUGGAAUGCGCAGAUAUCAGGAAGAACACCGGUGGCGAAAGGCGGGUCUCUGGGCCGUUACUGACGCUGAGGACGAAAGCGUGAGGAGCGAACAGGAUUAGAUACCCU